UGGGGAAUUUUCCGCAAUGGGCGCAAGCCUGACGGAGCAACGCCGCGUGAGGGAUGAAGGCCUCUGGGCUGUAAACCUCUUUUAUCAAGGAAGAAGAUCUGACGGUACUUGAUGAAUAAGCCACGGCUAAUUCCGUGCCAGCAGCCGCGGUAAUACGGGAGUGGCAAGCGUUAUCCGGAAUUAUUGGGCGUAAAGCGUCCGCAGGCGGUCUUGAAAGUCUGUUGUUAAAGCGUGGAGCUCAACUCCAUU
rnacentral:rRNA from 1 species